GACGAACGCUGGCGGCGUGCUUAACACAUGCAAGUCGAGCAGUAAGGCCCUUUCGGGGGUACGACGAGCGGCGAACGGGUGAGUAACACGUGGGUGACCUGCCCUCAGCUCUGGGAUAAGCCUGGGAAACCGGGUCUAAUACUGGAUAUGACUCCAUGACGCAUGUUGUGGGGUGGAAAGCCUUGUGCGGCUGAGGAUGGGCCCGCGGCCUAUCAGCUUGUUGGUGGGGUGAUGGCCCACCAAGGCGACGACGGGUAGCCGGCCUGAGAGGGCGACCGGCCACACUGGGACUGAGACACGGCCCAGACUCCUACGGGAGGGCAGCAGUGGGGAAUAUUGCGCAAUGGGCGAAAGCCUGACGCAGCGACGCCGCGUGAGGGACGAA
rnacentral:rRNA from 1 species